UCCGAAAGUUCUGGGAUUACAGGCAUGAAUCAUGAUGCCCGCUCCAGUACUAUGAUUUUUUAUACUGUUGUUUAAACACCACAGGACAUUAUUAUUGUUUUAUGAAUCUAUAUAUUCAUUUAUAUUUUUCUUCACAUUUACCCCUUUGUAUAUUUCUUCAUUCCAUUUUGCAUCUGGUAAUUCUUUCAUCAUCUUGGCAGUAUUACUUUUCUUUUGGAGUUCUACUGUUUCUGUUGCAAAGUCAUCUGUGAAUCUUAUUCCUUUUAAGAAAAUGUGUACCCUACCCCACUCUACCCCCAGCUGCUUUUAUUUUCCCUUUGUUUUGGGUUUUAAACAGUUUUACUAUGAUGUCUCUAGGUGAAUCUGUGAUUUGGUGUCUUUCAUUAUUUUUGGAAAAUUCUCAGGCAUAAUCUCUUCUUCUAUCACUUUUGCCCCAAUUGUCUCUUUCCUCGCCUACUCAGGGCUUUUCACCAUUAGCCAUACGUGUGUUAGAUUCUUUUCUGUUUUGUUGUUUUAUUCGUUUUUUCUCUUCAUGCUCAUUCUGGAUUUUUAUUGACCUAUUUUGUAAUUCACUGAACUUGUCUUCAGCUAUGUCUAAGCUGUCAUUUAACUCAUUUACUGCGUUCUUAAUUUCAGUUCUAUUAUUUUUAAUUUCUACAAGUUCCAUUUAAUUAUUUUUACUGAUUUGGACCCUCUGCUGAAAUUCAUCAUCUUGUAUAUUUUCUAGAGCAUAUUAAUUACAGUUACUUACAAGUAAUUUGGAAGCCCAUGCUUGAUAAUUCUUAAUACAGUUUCCACUUUUCUAUUUUCAGUCAUUUGGUCUUAUCUUUUAGCAUGGUCAAUAAUUUUUGUCUGAAUGCCUGACAUGUGAAUGAAAAAUUAUUGAGUUGAUGACAUUAACUCUUGAUACUAUCUUUUUUUCACAGACAGUUUUCUUUUUGCUUCUAGCAAACAGUUUGGAUAAGAGCAGAUCAGUGUGGCAAUUAGCUGAUGAAACAGCUGAGCUUUAGUCCUUUUGAGGGUUGGUAUAUUUACUUUUCAUUCAAGGUUCUUUCACCUUGAUUGAUCCUGAACUUGUUUUUGUAUUCCCAGACAUGUAAGACAGCCUAAAAUUCUGCUCACCUUUUCAACCUCUGGUCCUCUGUUUUCUGCUCAUUCAAGGUUCUUUCACCUUGAUUGAUCCUGAACUUGUUUUUGUAUUCCCAGACAUGUAAGACAGCCUAAAAUUCUGCUCACCUUUUCAACCUCUGGUCCUCUGUUUUCUGCUCAUUAUUUCCCACUAUUUAGCUUCUUAGCCUUAGGCUACUGCUUAUGAAUUGGCAGUUGCCUCAAGGGGAAAACAGGUGCUAAAUGUCAUUCUCACCUUUGCACUUCCCUUUUGGACACGGUCUUGACCCUUCAAUUUCUUACUACCUUGGUGGCUCUCUUGUUUAAGCGGAUAUCCUCAUCUAUGUUUCUGUAUCUGUAAGUGUAUCUCAUUUUUGAGUAGAGUCACUGGCCUGACAAAAGUAUAUUCUAGCCAAAAUAAGAGAAGUCCCCACAAUUUGUUUAAUGACAAAAGCUCCACUAGAGAGAAGCAGUUACCUAGAUAAGUCUUAGAAUGUCAAUUCCAUUCUUUCUCUUUGCUUUUUGUGGAUAAUGUAUAACCUUUAUAGCAGUCAUAUAUGCACAUACAAUGUUUUGGUAUCCCUGCUUGAGCACUUUUGGAAAACCUUUACCAUCUGUGCCUUAAAUCCAUGUAGAGCUUGUGAACACAAAAUAUGUGAGACAGGUCUCAGUCAAUUUAGGAAGUUUAUUUUGCCAAAGUUAAGGAUGUGCCCAUGGCAUAGCUUCAGGAAGUCCUGAGACACGUGCCCAAGGUGUUUGGGGGUACAGUUUGCUUUUAUACAUUUUAGGGAGACAUGAGACAGCUAUGUGUAAGAUGUACAUUAGUUCAGUCCGGUAAGGCAGGACAACUCGAAGUGGCCCCGUUAGAAGUAGGUAAGACGCAAAAGGUUGCAUUCUUUUAAGUCGUAGAUCAGCCUUCCACUGAAUACACAAUUUAGUCUGGUUCAGUGGAUCUGCAUUUUCACAGAAACAAUAGGAGAGAGGAAGCAAUCAGAUAUGCGUUUGUUUCAGGUGAGCCUCAGACGGAUGACUUUGAAUAGAAGGGGAGGCAGGUUUGCCCUAAGCAGCUCCCAGCUUGACUCUUCCCAUUAGCUUAGUGAUUUUGGGGUCCCUAGAUUUAUUUUACUUUCACAAGCUUUUAUAUGCAGUCACCAACUCAAGCUUAGCUACACAGAGGCUGGGAUGUGAAAGCACUGGUUAAGUCAGCUGUGGAUCGCACAUGCCCUUUCUAUCUGAUCUCUUCAAACCAGGAUACCAUCUGGCUUGGUUCAGAAACUUUCACUGUAUACUUUAGUUUGAAUUUAACUUUUUUUUUUUUUUAACCUUCGAUACUUUGGCUGACUUUAUGACUAUUUUAAUUCACAAAAGAGACUCACCUUAAGAGACAUUAUAAUACUCAAUUUAUUGCAGGGUAAGAAAACAUAAACAAGUCAAUCCGUGGGCUAAAGUUUUUCUUUGGCCAAAUCGUCACCAUUGUCUUUAUUAAGACUAGGACACCCUUUAAAAGGGCUUCCUGACUAAGUAACGAUUGCCUUUCACUUCACUGUACACCCCUCCACUCUCCAGAUAAGUUCAUCAGUUUAACUUCAUCCAAUAUACACAAGUGAAUGCACCUUAAUUAAUUAGCAGAAAUACUAAUUGAUACACAUUUAUUCUUAAAUCCUAGAUGCAGUAUGUACCCUUAUAUCUAAAAGAGAGGUUAGCACAAUAGUGCACACCAAGACAUUUCAAGAGGUACUUGUGCAAGGAGAAUUUUAAUCCAUUUUCAUUUCCUCCACUUCCUCGAUACUCUUUCCAAAAUUUGAUCUUCCCAUUUAUAUACCUGUCUCAGACUGGUUCUCUUUUCCCACCUGCCCCUUUCACAUAUGUCCUUUUUUAAAAGAAAGGCAUAAUUUUCACCCAUCUUUCUCAGUUUCACCAUUGUCAAGGUGGGAAAAGCAAAACAAACAAACAAAAAACCCUUCCAGUCUAUACAGGUCAUUUGAAAAUGUGUUGAGAAAGAGACUCCAAUAAUGGCUAACCCUUUUUUGCAACUCACUGGUUUUCAGUUAUUUGCUUUCAAUAAAAUUAAACAAAAGCCUAGGCAGGCUGUCAGCCAUUAAAUCAUUAAAAUUUAUUUCAUUUUUGACGUAUUACUAAAAAAAUUGAUGGAUGCAGUGGCACUGAGUGACAAAGAAUUGAAUUAUUACAAAUCUCCAUUCUCUGGAUAAAGAAAAUGUACUACAUAGUGGAGUGCUAUUCAGCCAUAAAAAAGAAUGAGAUUCUGUCAUUUGCAACAACAUGGAUGGAACUGGACGUUAUUACGCUAAGUGACUUAAGCCAGGCAUAGGAAGGCAAACAUUGCAUGUUCUCACUUAUUUGUGGGAUCUAAAAAUCAAAACAAUUGAACUCAUGGACAUAGGGAGUAGAAGGAUGGUUACCAGAGACUGAGAAGGGUAAUGACACAGGGGGUGGGGUGGGGGUUGGAGGUGGGGAUGGUUAAUAGGUACAAAAAAAUAGAAUGAAUAAUACCUAGUAUUUGAUAGCACAACAAGGUGACUAUAGUCAAUAAUAAUUUAAUUUACAAGUUAGAAUAACUAGAGGAAUAUAAUUGUAUUGUUUGUAACACAAAGGAUAAAUGCUUGUGGGGAUGGCUACCCCAUUUUACAUGAUAUGAUUAUUACACACUGCUUGCCUGUAUCAAAAAUCUCAUGUACCCCAUAAAUAUAUACACCCAUGUACCCAUGAAAAUUAAAAGUUAAAACAAAAACGGAACAAAACUACAUUCUCAUCUAUUUGUUUUACAUUAAAAAUGAUCUCAUCUAUAGAUAGGAAAAAUGGGAAUGUAAUUUAUGUUGACUGCUAUGUCAUGCUAGUUAUAAAUCAUAUAUACCCACGGAAAGAUGAACUAAAAAAAACACUACAAAUUGGUCUUGAUUCUCAGAUGAAUUUCCAGUAAGAUUUUUAAUGUUUUAUGUGUAAUACUUGUGUGUAAAAAUAUUCAUGUUUGUGAUAUUAUCUACUGCAUUCUAAUAGUUACUGUAAUAAUUUAGAAAAAAGUUAUUUUUAAGUGCUAGAGAAGUAGACUUCACAUUUUGGACAGAGAGGUGUCAAAGAAUGUAUGGACAUGCUUAAAAUCCCCACAAUGCAGG
rnacentral:lncRNA from 1 species